GGUCCUACGGGAGGCAGCAGUGGGGAAUAUUGCACAAUGGGGGAAACCCUGAUGCAGCAACGCCGCGUGAGUGAAGAAGUAUUUCGGUAUGUAAAGCUCUAUCAGCAGGGAAGAAGAUGACGGUACCUGACCAAGAAGCCCCGGCUAACUACGUGCCAGCAGCCGCGGUAAUACGUAGGUGGCAAGCGUUAUCCGGAUUUAUUGGGUUUAAAGGGUGCGUAGGCGGAUUUUUAAGUCAGCGGUAAAAUGUCCGGGCUCAACCCGGGCCGGCCGUUGAAACUGGGGAUCUUGAGUGGGCGAGAGGG
rnacentral:rRNA from 1 species